rnacentral:misc_RNA from 1 species
UUCUUCCUACCUCAAGAAGGUUGGUUACAACCCUGACAAAAUCCCAUUUGUUCCCAUCUCUGGUUUUGAAGGAGAUAAUAUGAUUGAGAGGUCUACCAACCUCGACUGGUACAAGGGACCAACCCUCCUUGAGGCUCUCGACCAGAUUAAUGAGCCCAAGAGGCCAUCAGACAAACCACUCCGUCUCCCACUUCAGGAUGUUUACAAGAUUGGUGGCAUUGGA